rnacentral:tRNA from 1 species
GGUUCCGUGGUGUAGGGGUAAACAUGCCUGCCUGUCACGAAGGGGAGCGCGGGUUAAAACCCGGGGGGGACCGCCA